rnacentral:lncRNA from 10 species
CUGUGCCUUGAGAUUUCCAGCAAAGGCUCAACCCAGAAGUCCAAUCCUUGAACUCCAUUUUCAAAGACAGAGACAGAAGAAGGCCCAGGAGGAGGGCGUUCUAGGAGGAGGGUCCCCAGUGUGCAAGGACUGAGGUAUGAACCAACAGGGCAUGUUGCAAAUGAUUUGGAAAAGACCAGAGGGACCAGUGGGUUAAGUGGUGAAGAUGGAGGAGUGGACUGAAGUGGGAGAGUGAUGUCACGAAGAGGAUGUGAUGGGAGGUUCAGGAUCCAGGAGCCAUGGAUGGGCUGUGAGCAGUGCGGAGAGAGCUCAGUGUGUCCUAAAGAUUCCCACUGGACUGUGCACAAUACGUAGACUGCAGAGAGUAAGGCGGCCUAGCAGUCACAGGGUGGGCAGAUGAGGCUGAAGAGGUGGGCAGGAUCCAGAUGCUACCUAGACCUGAUUUGCAGGCUGAGGUUAUUUCCUGGAAAGUUGCAGAAUCGCUAUUUUGCAGGCAAGUGACACAGACAUAUAAGUACUAGUUGCCACCAGAAUCAGGAGAGGUUCCCAGCAGGACCUUUGUGUUCAAAGCACAGCGAUCCAUCAGUGCUCGGCAUACACCUGUGCCAGGAGCUCUAACGGGAUGUGACUCCUGGAAUGGUGACCACAACCUUGCAAGUAGGGCUUCUCAUUCCUGUUUUACAGAGCAGGAAACCAAGGUACAGAGAGGUAGGAAUUUGUCUGUCUUUUAGUUAAAAAAAUAAAAGGGAGGGCACA